rnacentral:rRNA from 1 species
UACGAAGGGGGCUAGCGUUGCUCGGAAUUACUGGGCGUAAAGGGCUCGUAGGCGGUUUGUCGCGUCGGGAGUGAAAACACCAGGCUUAACUUGGUGCUUGCUUUCGAUACGGGCAGACUUGAGGCAUGCAGGGGAGAACGGAAUUCCUGGUGUAGCGGUGAAAUGCGCAGAUAUCAGGAGGAACACCGGUGGCGAAGGCGGUUCUCUGGGCAUGUUCUGACGCUGAGGAGCGAAAGUGUGGGGAGCGAACAGG